rnacentral:rRNA from 1 species
GAUGAACGCUAGCGGGAGGCCUAACACAUGCAAGCCGAGCGGUAGAGAUUCUUCGGAAUCUUGAGAGCGGCGUACGGGUGCGGAACACGUGUGCAACCUGCCUUUAUCAGGGGGAUAGCCUUUCGAAAGGAAGAUUAACACCCCAUAAUAUAUUGAAUGGCAUCAUUUGAUAUUGAAAACUCCGGUGGAUAGAGAUGGGCACGCGCAAGAUUAGAUAGUUGGGGAGGUAACGGCUCACCAAGUCUACGAUCUUAGGGGGCCUGAGAGGGUGAUCCCCCACACUGGUACUGAGACACGGACCAGACUCCUACGGGAGGCAGCAGUGAGGAAUAUUGGACAAUGGGUGCGAGCCUGAUCCAGCCAUCCCGCGUGAAGGACGACGGCCCUAUGGGUUGUAAACUUCUUUUGUAUAGGGAUAAACCUAGAUACGUGUAUCUAGCUGAAGGUACUAUACGAAUAAGCACCGGCUAACUCCGUGCCAGCAGCCGCAGUAA